CUCAGUUGGUAGAGCAGAGGACUGAAAAUCCUCGUGUCACCAGUUC
rnacentral:tRNA from 2 species